UUAGCGAGUGCAGAUGUUAGUUUUGUGAAAUCCAUGAAAUAAUAAUCUUUAGUAUUACAACAUAACGAAGAUGCGAUCUUUCAAGACGUUUAGCUAUCUAUCUAGAUGUUGGAUGCUAACGUUGGCUCAAAACGCCAUUCAAAUGACAACCUUUGUUGCGUUUGAUUGCUAGCUUCUAGCUAGCAGUCAUUUCAAAAACGUUGUAGGUAUCUAUUACAGUUUGAUUGCUAACGUUAGCUCAAAACACCAUUCAACUGACAGCCUUUGUUGUGUUUGAUGCUAACUUGUAGCCAGCAGUGAACCAACUUAGUUAAUUAGCUAUGUCCAUUUAUACUGUUAAGUAGGUCCAUUUUUACUGUAUUGACAUUAGCUACAGAAGUCUCUCGUUAGCACAUUAUAUGCUAACUGCUUGUCGCAAAGUGACACAUGCGCGACUCAAAUCUGCACUCGCCUCACAUUGGGCAGUGACACUUGUCUUGGAGAGAGAAGCUACGAUUUCUCAUGUUGCAAGAGUCCAAGAUAUCCGCAAGUCCAAGAAUGAUGUAGCUACCAGUACAGCCCAACUUGAAUAUAUUCCCAACCAUUGUUAUGGGGGACAGGAGACGGAGCUUCCGGCCAAACUGCUAUAAUCUUCAUCCACGGCUUGACCAUUAUGUCAUGAUGGACUCUACAUAUUGCUAUGCAUGAAGACAUUUUUCAUUUUUUACGGCCCUACCUCUCUUGCACCUGCACUCACUCUUGUACAAAAUAAAUGAUUUAUGAUUUUAAAGUAAAAUAAAGUUUAUAAUCUU